rnacentral:rRNA from 1 species
UACGUAGGGCGCAAGCGUUAUUCGGAAUUACUGGGCGUAAAGCGCGCGCAGGCGGCUUUGUAAGACAGCUGUGAAAUCCCCGGGCUUAACCUGGGAACUGCAUUUGUGACUGCACGGCUAGAGUGUGUCAGAGGGGGGUGGAAUUCCACGUGUAGCAGUGAAAUGCGUAGAUAUGUGGAGGAACACCAAUGGCGAAGGCAGCCCCCUGGGAUAACACUGACGCUCAUGCACGAAAGCGUGGGGAGCAAACAGG